rnacentral:piRNA from 1 species
UGAUUUGCCUGCCAGGUGUAGCUCACACUC